CAUCUGGUUGGAACCGGUUCCCGCCCUGUGGCCAGUCGGUGAGGUAGCGGUGCUCGGCGACGGGUGGCAAGUGACCGGUUCCCAGAGCUUUCGGCAGCGCGCACACCCGUCCAACCAGCGGCAAAAAUGCCCCGCAGGGCGGCUGGAACUCAAAAAACUGAAGAACUGAGGAGGUCAGCACGAAUACGGCGAACUGUCGUGUCAGCAGCUCCAGCCAAGAAGGCACCACUGAAGAAAGCUGCUGUGAAAGCUAAGAAACCAAAGGCCACCAAAGGCAAAGCAAGUGAUUCGAACCAGGAACCCAGCACUGCUCCUGCCCAAAAUGGAGAAAAUAAGGAGGCUUGAGAAGCAAAGUGGCCGAUAGGCAACAGUCUCAACAGCGUCUAGAAGGCUUAUCAAUCUCCUGCAACUUGUGCAGUUGAAAGGAAUAUUUUUAUCAGUUUUUAUAAAGGCAACAUUUUUUUUUACUUUGAGUGGGCAAAUGUUGUGGGUGCUUGCAUUGUUUUAUUUUGGAGACUUUGUAUACGAAUUGCAUGUUGAAUUGCUUGAAAUUAAACUCCCUUUUGGUCCCUCCCAUACCCUUUAAUUUUGAUCAUUUUCUACCUGUUCCGUCAGAUGAAGCUAUGUUUGUAACGUCUGUUUCUGUUGACGGCAAUUCCUGAUCCCAAUGUGAAAUCAUUCUUUUCAGAUUUGGCAAUUUAAAAAUACAACUUUUUUUAAAGUUACUGUUUGAAAGUGGAAAUAUUCAUUAGAAUCUCUUCUGGUUCAAAUGGAAUUUUUAAAGUCAGUCCUAUUUUGCUGAGUAUUCCAUGGACUUUUAAAUUUGCUACUUAAAUAAAGUUGGAUAUUGU